rnacentral:rRNA from 1 species
UUGGGAAUCUUGGACAAUGGGGGAAACCCUGAUCCAGCCAUGCCGCGUGGGUGAUGAAGGCCUUCGGGUCGUAAAACUCUUUCGGCGGGGACGAUAAUGACGGUACCCGCAGAAGAAGCUCCGGCUAACUUCGUGCCAGCAGCCGCGGUAAUACGAAGGGGGCUCGCGUUGUUCGGAAUCACUGGGCGUAAAGCGCAUGCAGGCGGACUGAUAAGUCAGGGGUGAAAGCCCGAGGCUCAACCUCGUAACUGCCUUUGAUACUGUCAGUCUUGAGUCCGGGGGAAGUGAGUGGAACUUCGAGUGCAGAGGUGAAAUUCGUAGAUAUUCGCAAGAACACCAGUGGGGAAGUCGGCUCACUGGCCCGGUACUGACGCUG